rnacentral:tRNA from 1 species
GGGGAUUUAGCUCAGUGGUUGAGCGCUUGCCUAGCAAGCGCAAGGCCCUGGGUUCGAUCCCCAGCUCCG